rnacentral:rRNA from 1 species
CCUACGGGAAGCAGCAGUAGGGAAUAUUGCUCAAUGGGGGAAACCCUGAAGCAGCAACGCCGCGUGGAGGAUGAAGGUUUUCGGAUUGUAAACUCCUUUUGUUAGAGAAGAUAAUGACGGUAUCUAACGAAUAAUCACCGGCUAACUUCGUGCCAGCAGCCGCGGUACUACGGAGGGAGCAGGCGUUACACGGAAUAACUGGGCGUAAAGAGCGUGUAGGCGGGUUGACAAGUCAGAUGUGAAAUCCUUCGGCUUAACCAUAGAACUGCAAUUGAAACUGUUAGUCUAGAGUAUGGUUGAGGUAGGUGGAAUUCUUGGUGUAGCGGUAAAAUCCUUAGAGAUCAAGAUGAAUUCUGAUUGCGAAGGCAGCCUGCUAGAACACCACUGACGCUGAUGCGCGAAAGCGUGGGGAGCAAACAGGAUUAGAUACCCCAGUAGUC